GCGGAUAUGUGUGUUAUGUUCCUUUUGUUGUUGGCAAUUGGCGAGAAUGGCGCAUAAGGCUAUAACCUUGCGCAGAGUGCCAUGCAAACUGAAAAGAAAAAAAACCGAGGCUUGAAAGGAGAAAAGCGACAUAUAUUCGUCACGGGCUCCAUGCUGGGGAUAUUGCUAGCCUAUUGAAGAGGAACAAUAAAGACGCAACGUACUGUAAGCGUGAUCGAGGCCACGGGUGCACAAAACACUUCAUCGUACAGAACUGUGAUUCGUGUGUGAAUGGUCCUGCCUAGUAAAGAUUUAUCGUUUCCGUUGGGACCAGCUGGGGCCGUCUCGUCAAUCAUUAACUUGUAGUCCAUCACUGGAUAUGCUCAUCAGGGCACAGGCUUCUGGAUCAAGUAGUAACGUGCAUAUGCCCGCAGAAGGAAGAUGGACGCUUCACACUGUGAGCAUGCAUCCAUGAGAGUCCAGACAUACAUGCAGCACGUACAGUCACACACAUAAGAGGCUGUGUAAAAAGAACGGUUACCUGCAAGUCUUUAACCUUCCUGGAAAGCACACAAAACAGUUAGAUACCCGGUGACUGUGUAAUUGGUAUUUUUAGCUCUUCGUGGAGAAGUACUUGUCAGAUUCAACUUAUCAUCGUGUCACCAAGAUAAUCCCAAGUCCAGCGUUCAUUGACUUGUACUCACGUUGUACCCAAUAUUCAUGAGUUGGGAGAAGCAAUGAGUGACAAACUGUCUUGUCCAGGGGCACAUGCAACGUAACUCCAGUCUAGACUCGAACCCACAACCUGAAGAAUAACUCGGAUACCACGAGGUCACUACUCCGGACCACGAGGCCACGGCACCCAACAUAUUACGUAUCGUUACAUCUUUAACCGACGACAGUUAUCUAUAACUACAGGAAUAUGUAUUAAUUUCUAGAACAAUUAAAAUUGCAUUUAGGGUAUUUGUCAUGGGGCUAAUCGAACGCUGCGGCGUAUUCCCCUGACAUUCUGGGAAAAUUGAAGUUCACAUUCAAAAUGCACCUGACAUUAUGUCGUCAGCUUCACUGGUAAAAUAGAAUUACGUGUUUAUAGUAAUCAUUGCAACCAGGUCAGCUAGAAUCAAAAAUAUGUUCCGAAUUGCCAAAAAUGUAUAUUUAAACACUGUUUAUUAUAGGGAAUAUUUGGGUCUUUAAUCUCCUUGCCUGCCUCUCCUUGUUUUCCGUUCUAGCUUCCAAUUCCAUUGUUUGUCUCCAUCUUCGUUCAUUUGGAAUGUAACACACAUCACCCAACCAUCUCAGUUUAUAUAAUACUAAUAAUAAUAAUACCAAGCAUUUAUAUGGCGCUCUACAACGAUCACAGCGCCUCACAACAAACAGCUUAAACAGUUACUAAAAAUUACAAAGAAAUCACAUACACACACACAAAAAACCACAACUAUUAUGCAUUGGGUAAUAAGUGUGUUUUGAGUAGGCGCUUGAAGAUCACUGUAGACGCAGCUUCCCUGAUGUCAACCGGUAGUUGAUUCCACAAUUUAGGGACAACAACAGAGAAUGAAUUGUCACCCGCCUUCUUGUUGGAACAAGGAACAACCAGCCGGGUGACAUCAGAAGAAGAGCGGAGUCUCCUGCGAUUUUCAGAUCCAUUCAAGUAAUUUUGAUUUGAUUCCAUUUGAUUAGAUUCCCCCCCCCCAUACUUUCAUUCUUCCAAUGAAGUACUAAAAUGGAAACAAUAUAUAACAACCAAGUCAUAAACGGAGGAGGUUGGGGAAAAAAGCCAAAGCUUGUGCCUGGACAGCCCCCUGUGUUCAAACAAUGAAAUUCAAACGAAAAAGAAAGAAAUCUGAAAGGUGUUCUGUGCCUGUCAGACUCUUAAUAUUCUUUUAUACAUCUUCGGUGAAACACAUUAAGCUUCCUUGUUUUUGAACUUGUUAGGGGCAAAGUUUCAGCACAGUUUCAACUGCCAGGUGUAGGCCCUAUUUUAAUCUAUCUUUAUUGACAACUCUUAUACUGCUAUACAUUUUCCACUCGAGGGAGAUGACUUUUCCCGAUUCUCUUUGAACUCUAUCCACUGAGCCAGUUUCGCUGAUAUCACUACCCAGACAUGUGAAGCCCUUGUUCCACCUUCUGACCAUGCACUUUCAUGCAUUCUGGUCAACUUUUGAUGUUCAUGAACUAAUUUGUUUCCUGUUGAUUCGUUGAUCAACUUUUUCUUAAAUAACGCAAAUGUUGUUUGUUUAUUCCUGGAGCUAUAUGGUACAGGUGUCUAGCAAGGCAACGUCGUCUGCGAUCAGGUCUUGGUUGCACAGAUUUCUGGAAUCUUAUUGUAUUCCGAUGCUUUCUUGUACACGUCUCAUUACAAAUUAUAUGCCGAACUUAAAAUAUAAAUAGAAGGGUAACAGGAUGCAUACUUGUCUACACCUAUUUCCAUUUGAAACCAUGCUGGUGUUCUGUCUUAAAGUUGUUUUGAAUGCACAUUUGGAAUCUCUGUAAGGAUGUUAAACCUCUAAGGUAGGCCAUAGAUUUCAAAUGUUCUUCACAGGCUUUUUCAUAUGGCCACUGUCAAAAGAUUUGCUGAAAUCUAUGAAGUUGCUCGGUUUGCUUCAAUUUGCCCAAUGGUUGGUCAUAGUGUAGCAAUUUGUUCUGUAUAUUAUCUUCUGCUCCGUAACUCGCAUAUUCUUCAUUAUUCUAUUGGUUUCUGCCCUUCUACCGCUUGGCAGAUGCUUCGGAAAUAUGAUGAGUACGAUGUUUUUCUUCUUCUUGAGUGUCCGGCUUGCGGAGCCAUAGUGUAAUCCGAGUUGCUAGGAGACCUCUGGCCUCGAUCCUUUCUAAAGGCUUCUUAAGUUAGGUAGGUCUGCCAAUGUUCCGGCCUGCCUGUUUCCUUCGCCACUGAGCUCUGAAUUUAAUACAUGUAUGUUCCAUUAUUGUGCCAUAGGAAAACAUGUCAUCAGCUGACUAAGAUGUUUACCAUCAAGAUUCCAAGUGACUACUUCACUUAAGUAUAUCGGUCUAGCAUCCUCAAGACAAUUCAAAACAGAAGACUUUUUAAUUCUUUGGGAUUUCACACCUCAGGAUUCUAAGUGUAUUUCAUGGCGGUAAUUCUGAGAUUGAUUAGGACAAUGGGAUCCUUGUCGAAUAUUUCUUUUCAGGUUAAUUCACCUGUCUCCUUAAUGUAUUAAAAUGAUUGGAGAUCUACAAUAUUCGUUGCAUUCUCUUAACUUGCAUUCUCUUAAUGCACAUGAAGACUUUGGUAAACAACCGACGCCCCUUAGACAAAAAAACAUUUUAGGUCAUGUUGAACGGAUGUUUCGUUGUGGAUUCCGUAUCUUGCUGAACGUGUGAAUAUCACUCCCUGUGAUACAUCUUCACUGAGUACAAAAGCUUACACAGCUCAAACUUACCUGUACAGUCAUAGUGGUGUAUGUGACGGUUGUUUGAAGAGUCUUUAUUUUCUGCUAUAUACAAUGUAAUUUUCGGUCUUAAUUUUCGCAUCUACAUACAACUGUGAAAAUCGUUCCUUACGACACUUCUUGACGAAUGCAUGUCAGCCACUGGCAAUAGCUUCCCAUCUGAUGUGAAUGUGAUUCCAGCGUGUUUGUACAGCCCCUCGGCUACACAAUUGACAACCUUAUCUAUAGUCGUAUAGUGGUGAAUAUGACGGUUGUUUGCAGUUUUCAUUUUCUGCAAUGUAGAGUGUAGAAUGCAGCUGCAUACAACCGGGAAAAUUAUUCCUUACGACACUUCUUGACAAAUACAAGUCAGCCACUGGCAACAGCUAUCCGUCCGCUGUAAAUGUGAUUCCAGCGUGUUUGUACAGCCCCUUGGUUACACAGUUGACAACCUUAUGUACAGUCGUAUAGAGGUGAAUAUGACGGUUGUUUGCAGUGUUUAUUUUCUUCAAUGUACAAUGUAGAUAGCAGCUGCAUACAACCGAGAAAAUCAUUCCUUGCGACACUUCUUAACGAAUACUAGUCAGCCACGUGCAACAGCUUCCCAUCCGUGAUGAGAAUUUGAUGUCAGUGGGUUUGUGUAGACCCCGCGCAAAACAGUUAAAACACUUAAAAGUAAACACUUAAAAGUACAAUCGUAGUGGUGCAUGACGGGUGUUUGAGUUCUAAGUUGUCUGCAAUGUACAGUGUAGAUAGCGAAACUGUAGCAGCUGCAUACAACCAUGAAAAUCAUUUCUUGCGACACUUCUUGACGAAUACAAGUCAGCCACUGGCAACAGCUUCCCGUCCGCUGUAAAUGUGAUUCCAGCGUGUUUGUACAGACCCUCGGCUACACAGUUGACAACCUUAUGUACAGUCGUAUAGUGGUGAAUACGACGGUUGUUUGCAGUGUUUAUUUUCUUCAAUGUACAAUAUAGAUAGCAGCUGCAUACAACCGUGAAAAUCAUUCCUUGCGACACUUCUUAACGAAUACAAGUCAGCCACUGGCAACAGCUUCCCGUCUGUUGUGAAAUUGCGUAACACAGCUCAAACUUACCUGCACAGUCAUAGUGGUGUAUGUGACGGUUGUUUGAAGAGUCUUUAUUUUCUGCUAUAUACAAUGUAAUUUUCGCAUCUACAUACAACUGUGAAAAUCAUUCCUUACGACACUUCUUGACGAAUGCAUAUCAGCCACUGUCAACAGCUAUCCGUCUGCUGUAAAUGUGAUUCCAGUGUGCUUGUACAGACCCUCGGCUACACAGUUAACAUACUUAUGUACAGUCGUAGUGGUGAAUAUGACGGUUAAUUGUAGUUUUAUUUUCUGCAAUGUACAAUGUAGAUAGCAGCUGCAUACAACUGUGAAAAUCAUUCCUUAUGACACUUCUUGACGAAUGCUUGUCAGCCACUGGCGACAGCAAUCCGUCCGCUGUAAAUGUGAUUCCAGUGGGUUCCUUCAGACCCUCGGCUACACAGUUGACAUACUUAUGUACAGUCGUAGUGGUGAAUACGACGGUUGUUUGCAGUGUUCAUUUUCUGCAAUGUACAGUGUAGAUAGCAGCUGCAUACAACUGUGGAAAUCAUUCCUUGCAACACUUCUUGACAAAUGCAAGUCAGCCACUGGCAACAGCUAUCCGUCCGCUGUAAAUGUGAUUUCAUCGUGUCCGUACAGACCGUCGGUUACACAGUUGACAACCUUAUGUACAGUCGUAUAGUGGUGAAUACGACGGUUGUUUGCAGUGUUUAUUUUCUUCAAUGUACAAUGUAGAUAGCAGCUGCAUACAACCGUGAAAAUCAUUCCUUGCGACACUUCUUGUCGAAUACAAGUCAGCCACUUGCAACAGCUUCCCAUCCGUGAUGAGAAUUUGAUGUCAGUGGGUUUGUGUAGACCCCGCGCAAAACAGUUAAAACACUUAAAAGUAAACACUUAAAAGUACAAUCGUAGUGGUGCAUGACGGGUGUUUGAGUUCUAAGUUGUCUGCAAUGUACAGUGUAGAUAGCGAAACUGUAGCAGCUGCAUACAACCAUGAAAAUCAUUUCUUGCGACACUUCUUGACGAAUGCAAGUCAGCCACUGACAACAGCUUCCCAUCUGAUGUGAAUGUGAUUCCAGCGGGUUCCUUCAGACCCUCGGUUACACAGUUGACACACUUAUGUACAGUCGUAGUGGUGAAUACGACGGUUGUUUGCAGUUUUCAUUUUCUGCAAUGUACAUGUAGAUAGCAGCUGCAUACAACUGUGGAAAUCAUUCCUUGCGACACUUUUUGACGAAUACAAGUCAGCCACUGGCAACAGCUUCCCGUCUGCUGUAAAUGUGAUUCCAGCGUGUUUGUACAGACCCUCGGCUACACAGUUGACAUACUUAGCUUCCCGUUUGUUGUGAAAUUGCGUAACACAGCUCAAACUUACCUGUACAGUUAUAGUGGUGAAUAUGACGGUUGUUUGCAGUUUUUAUUUUCUGCAAAGUACAAUGUAGAUAGCAGCUGCAUACAACUGUGAAAAUCACUCCUUGCGACACUUCUUGACGAAUGCAAGUCAGCCACUGACAACAGCUACCCCUCUGAUGUGAAUGUGAUUCCAACGGGUUCCGACAGACCCUCGGUUACACAUUUGACAUAGUUAUGUACAGUCGUAGUGGUGAAUAUGACGGUUGUUUGCAAUUUUUAUUUUCUUCAAUGUAUAAUGAAGAUAGUAGCUGCAUACAACCGUGAAAAUCAUUCCUUACGACACUUCUUGACGAAUACAAAUCAGCCACUUGCAACAGCUUGCCAUCCGUGUCAUGAAUUUGAUUUCAUUGGGUUGUGUAGACCCCGCGCAAAACAGUUAAAACACUUCAUUUUCUGCAAUGGACAAAGUAGAUAGCAGCUGCAUACAACCGUGGAAAUCAUUCCUUGCGACACUUCUUGACGAAUGAAAGUCAGCCACUGACAACAGCUACCCCUCUGAUGUGAAUGUGAUUCCAACGGGUUCCUACAGACCCUCGGUUACACAUUUGACAUACUUAUGUACAGUCGAAGUUGUGAAUAUGACGGUUAAUUGUAGUUUCAUUUUCUGCAAUGUACAAUCAAGAUAGCAGCUGCAUACAACCGUGAAAAUCAUUCCUUACGACACUUCUUGACGAAUACAAGUCAGCCACUUGCAACAGCUUCCCAUCCGUGAUGAGAAUUUGAUGUCAGUGGGUUUGUGUAGACCCCUCGCAAAACAGUUAAAACACUUCAUUUUCUGCAAUGGACAAAGUAGAUAGCAGCUGCAUACAAACGGGAAAAUCAUUCCUUACGACACUUCUUGUCGAAUACAAGUCAGCCACUUGCAACAGCUUCCCAUCCGUGAUGAGAAUUUGAUGUCAGUGGGUUUGUGUAGACCCCUCGCAAAACAGUUAAAACACUUAAAAGUAAACACUUAAAAGUACAAUCGUAGUGGUGCAUGAUGGGUGUUCGAAGUCUAAGUUUCCUGCAAUGUACAGUGUAGAUAGCGAAACUGUAGCAGCUGCAUACAACCGUGGAAAUCAUUCCUUACGACACUUCUUGACGAAUGCUUGUCAGCCAUUGGCAACAGCUUUCCGUCCGCUGUAAAUGUGAUUCCUGCGGGUUCCUUCAGACCCUCGGUUACACAGUCGACAAUCUUAUGUACAGUUGUAUACAUGUAGUGGUGAAUGUGACUGUUGUUUGCAGUUUUUAUUUUUUGCAAUGUACAAUGUAGAUAGCAGCUGCAUACUACCGUGAAAAUCAUUCCUUGCGACACUUCUUGACGAAUACAUGUCAGCCACUGGCAACAGCUAUCCGUCUGCUGUGAAUUUGAUUCCAGGGUAUUCGUACAGACCCUCGGCUACACAUUUGACAUACUUAUUGAAUAUCAUUUCUUGUGAUACAUCUUGACUGAGUGCAAAACCUGCCCAUCUAUUAUGAGAUUGCGUAAUACAGCUGAAACUUACCUGCACAGUCGUAGUGGUGUAUGUGACGGUUGUUUGCAGUGUUUAUUUUCUGGAAUGUGCAAUGAAGAUAGCAUCUGCAUACAACCCUGAAAAUCAUUACUUACGGCACAUCUUGACUAAUACAAGUCAGCCACUGGCAACAGCUGUCCGUCUGCUGUGAAUGUGAUUCCAGGGUAUUCGUACAGGCCCUGGGCGACACAUUUGACAUACUUAUGUACAGUCAUAGUGGUGAAUUUGACGGUUAUUUGCAGUUUUUAUUUUCUGCAAUGGACAAUGUAGAUAGCAGCAGCAUACAACCGUGAAAAUCAUUCCUUGCGACACUUCUUGACGAAUACAAGUCAGCCACUGGCAACAGCUUCCCAUCUGAUGUGAAUGUGAUUCCAGCGGGCUUCUACAGACCCUCGGUUACACAGUUGACAACCGUAUGAACAGUCGUGUAGUGGUGAAUAUGACGGUUGUUGGCAGUUUUUAUUUUAUGCAAGGUACAAUGAAGAUACCAACUGCAUACAACCAUGAAAAUAUUCCUUACGACACUUCUUGACGAAUGCAUGUCAGCCACUGGCAACAGCUACCCGUCUGCUGUAAAUGUGAUUCCAGCGUGUUUGUACAGCCCCUCGGCUACACAUUUGACAUACUUAUUGAAUAUCAUUUCUUGUGAUACAUCUUGACUGAGUGUAAAAGCUGCCCAUCUAUUGUGAAAUUGCGUAAUACAGCUGAAACUUACCUGUACAGUCGUAGUCGUGUAUGUGACGGUUGUUUGCAGUGUUUUUUUUUCUGGAAUGUACAAUGAAGAUAGUAUCUGCAUACAACCCUGAAAAUCAUUACUUACGGCACAUCUUGACUAAUACAAGUCAGCCACUGGCAACAGCUAUCCGUCUGUUGUGAAUGUGAUUCCAGGGUGUUGUUAUAGACUCUCGGUUACACAUUUGACAAAUAUUAUGUACAGUCGUAGUGGUGAAUAUGACGGUUAUUUGCAAUUUUUAUUUUCUGCAAUGUACAAUGUAGAUAGCAGCAGCAUACAAUCGUGAAAAUCAUUCCUUACGACUCUUCUUGACGAAUACAAGUCAGCCACUGACAACAGCUUCCCGUCUGCUGUAAAUGUGAUUCCAGCGUGUUCCUUCAGACCCUCGGCUACACAUUUGACAUACUUAUGUACAGUCGUAGAGGUGAAUAUGACGGUUUUUUGCAGUUUGUAUUUUCUACAAUGUAGGCCUGCAAUGUAGAUAGCAGCUGCGUACAACCGUGAACAUUAUUCCUUGCGCCACUUCUUGACGAAUGCAAGUCAGCCACUGGCAACAGUUUCCCAUCUGAUGUGAAUGUGAUUCCAGCGGGUUCCUACAGCCCCUGGGCUACACAUUUGACACACUUAUGUACAGUCGAAGUGGUGAAUACGACGGUUUUUUGCAGUUUGUAUUUUCUACAAUGUAGGCCUGCAAUGUAGAUACAUGUAGCAGCUGCGUACAACCGUGAACAUUAUUCCUUGCGACACUUCUUGACGAAUACAAGUCAGUCACUUGCAACAGCUUCCCAUCUGAUGUGAAUGUGAUUCCAGUGGGUUCCUACGGACCCUCGGUUACACAGUUGACACUUGUGUGCAGUCGUCUUCAUUUCUACGUUAUACAAUGCAGAUAACGAAACUGUAGCAUACAUACACCUGUGAAAAUCAUCCCUUGUGAUACAUCUUGACUGAGUACAAGUCAGCCACUGACAACAGUUGCCAUUCUGUUGUGAAUGUGAUUUCAGCGGGUUCGUACAAACCUUGCUUAUAACACAGUUGAAUCUUACCCUUACAGUCAUAGUGGUGAAAAUGACUGGUAUUGGAAGAGUCUUUAUUUUCUUCAGUGUCGAUAGCGAAGCUGUUGCAGCUGCAUACAACCGCCGAGUGUUUCAACAGCGUUCAACCAAUAAUAGGUUUGAUGCUAGAACGGUAUCAGCGUUGCCAUCAUAAAAAUCGCUCUGCUGAUCCCUCUUCUUAGUUACUGUCCACUAUUUAUUUAGCCACUACUUAGAACAUUUGUCAGGAAGGAUAAACAUAUCUUCAGAUUCUUCGUGCAUUAUGAGUUUAUCAUCACGGUGUCUAUAUGCUCAGUCAACGGCUCCUUCCUAUUCUUGUCACCCACAAUGAUAUGAACAUUCAUCAUGACUGCUACGAUCACGAGGAGCCUUUGUGUCUUGUCAGUCUUGCUCUCUAGUGAUGUGCUGUCCUCGUUGACAAUAGUCAUGUCUUGGAAAAUGUUAUCUUCCUUUGAGUUUUGAUCCGACAUAUCUACCAAGUCAUCUAGAAAAGGGCGGAAAAUUACAUGCAUUGUGCUUGUUUGGCAGCAAUCUUACUAUGCUCUGUCAUGCUGUUACAUGACGUGCUCUGCAGUGUUGUGCUGUCUGUCCAUUGCUGUACCUAACUGUGGUGUGGAGCGAAAUUAACGUGAGUUUAAUUGUUCCAUUGCUGUCCACAUCGAUAUCAAGCUUCAGACUGUAUGAACACGAAGGGCGACAUCGCCCUAUUCAAAUACAAAUUGGUCUUUUUAGACCUUGUCUGUGAGACACUGGAAGUACUGUCUCCUGUCGACACACAGGGCAAGAGAUCUUUGGUUGGCCUUGAUAUCUGCCGAAAACGGUAUUUCUUCAAACAUUUCUUACAGAAGCUGUGCGGGCAGUCCAGUACUCUUGGCCGUUUGCAUCAUUUUUUGCAGAUACAUGUAGUGCACUCAAUAUGAUUAGCGAUGACUUUCUCCAACUCGGCUCGUUACAGACGUUUCUGUAGCCAUCGCUGUGUCAAUAAAAAGAACAGACAGGUGAUUUUGAAUCACGUGCAAACCACUUGCCGAGCGUGUAUAAUUUAUGCUUGGUUUAAAGCAACUUACGUAUGAUUUAAAUUUCUAAAACUGUUAAAUAUUUCUGGCUUCCGUAUUACAGACAAUUCUUACUUGUAUUUAUUUUCAUUCUUAAUUCUUAAUUCUUACAGAGAUGCGAUGAAACGAGAAUAUCUAACAUAUCGGAGUAAAGUUAUACUUUCUCUAACGUUGACCCCUCUUUUGCGAGUAAAAUUCAACUUUCUGACUCUUUUUUUUUUUACAGUUGCCUUUUCUGUCUCUUCCUUUUAUUUGACGCCAACAAACUUCUUCGAAGUUACUGAUAUUGACAGUGAGCUCAACAACAGCAAUAGCUGUGUAUUCUUACGGCAAUAAUCAGGGCUCUCGUCUUGGUCACCUUCUAGUUGGUCACCUUCAAAUUGGUCUUGAGGCCCUUUAUACCGAACUCUUGAACUUCCGUCUUUGGACGACAAGGAAUCCCUGCUUUUUGCCACGGUAUCUGCCAUGACGGAAUUUCAGCAGACAUUCUUCACAGAAACUGUGCUGACAUUCCAGUACCUUAGGCGUCAUAUUUGACGAGAAACUUUUCUGGAAUGAUCAUCUCUCAGCCAUUGCCAAGAUCACCGGUUUAAUGUGCUCUGGCCUUUUUCUUCCUCAAGCGUCCGUUUGUAUUGCGCAUCUUUGCGAGUACCAUUCCACCUUCUGACUCUUCUUUCUUCCGUUACCUGUCUCCUUUGUCUCUUCUUUUUUUCUUGAUUCCAACACGCUUCUUUGAAGUUACUGAUAUUUGCAGCCAGCUCAACAACAGCAUUGGCUGUGUAUUCCGACGGCACCAAUCCCUCAAUUAUAAAACCUGCUAUUCCAUUUAUCUGUCGUCCUUUGGCUUAUAUUUUCAUUUUGUUUUCCUUUGGCCACUUUCCAUUUAAUUUUAAGAUUGCCAAUGUUAUCCCUAUAACGAUCUCAAGUCUAGAGAUCGUCAUGCUCGUAACUAGCGACGUAUGUAUAUUGUUGCCUGUUUUCCAAACUCCUUGAGAGACUUGUCUAUAACUGCCUAUCCAGUUUCGGCUCUCGCUUCCAUUUCCUUUCUGGUCAUUAGUGUGGUUGUCGAAGCAAUCAUUCUACCAAAUAUGACUCUGAUAGAGGUCGUCAAAAUAACCCACCUCCACCUUCACUGACAAUAUGAAUAUCAUUGGAGUCCUUGUCGAUCUCUCCAAAGCAUUUGGUAUCAGUGAUCAUUCUAUUCUUCGGUCUGCACUUGAGUUUUCUUGGAUAAGGGGUGUUGCACUCCGGUGAUCUUUGAGUUAUCUCUCAAACAUACAGCAGUUUUCCUUUGAUACGGUGUCCUUCAAGGCUCUAUUCUUGCUCCGAAUCAAAAUGGUUCCCUUCAAGUUGGCCUUGAGGCCCCAUAUGACGGAUUCUUGAACCAUGUCCGGAGGACAAGAAAUCCUUGCUCCGUCAAGGUAUCCGACAUCAUGACAUUUCACCAGACAUUCCUCGCAAAAGCUGUGCUGACGUUCCAGCACUUUUUGAGGUGUCAACAUUGACGAGAAACUCUCAUGGAUUGAGCAUAACUAGCUACCGCCAAAGUCAGAGUCAAAACGCAGGUGUUAUGUGCUCCGUCCUUUCCUUGCUCAAGCGUCCGUUGCUCCUCUUUACACUUCUCAUAUUGUCUCUCACCUGAGUUAUUGCAACAUCGAUUGUACACAUGCAUAAUAUCCCUUAGGCUUUCUCCGGCUGCAGCUCGUUUCGUAGAAAAGAAAAUUAAGCAAAUGGAUCUCUCAUCGAUCAGUGGCAACAGAUGAUGACUUGAUUUCCAGAAAUCUUCUCAAAAUAGCAUGUCCAGAUAUAUAUAUACCUCCUUGACGUACCUCAAACAUAAAUCUGUCUUUACAGGUAUUGUGCCUGAGGGCUUGAAAAUGACCAAGACGGCUCCAGUAUUUAAGGGUGGUGAUAAUUGAGAAGAACCAUCUAAUUUUAGACCUAUCUCAGUUCUCUCAUUUUCUCAAAACUUCUUGAAAGAUUUGGCAAAAAUGAACUGACUUCCUUUCUUAAGAUUUUCUCUCUACAGUGCAGUCUGGUUUGAGGUGUGUUUUUUAGAUCUUAAGAAAGCGUUCAAUAAUGUUGAUAAAAAACAGUCUAUUGUCCAAAUUCGAUGAUAGUGGAGUCAAAAUAUCUGGAAAUAAAAUGGUUUGAAUCUUACCUUCCAGGAAGGAAUUAGACCACUUCGACCGAAGGUAUAACCUCUGGCUUUGGACAUCUGAGUGCAGGGGUUCCUCAAGGGUCAAUUCUUGACCCACUUUUAAUCAUUUUAUAUACAGCCUACCUUCAUGUUUAGCAUCAAUAUCAGGAACGAAAGUGAGCAUGAAUGCUGACGAUACCAUACUAAUGUCGGAAGGCACAAGACAUGACGGUAUUGAAUCCGAUAUGAUCUUAGCAAAGUGCCUAAUUGGUUGAUGAACCAUAAACUUACGCCGAAUGUGAGUAAAACUAAAUUCAUAUUUGGUUCUCGUCCAAGGAUACCCCCUUCUCUCGGGGACAUCUCAUUAAAUGAUACAUUGAUCGAAAGAGUUCAUUAGUAUCUCGAGGUUAUUCUUGAUAAACACAUUGCUUGGUCCGAUCACACUGAUUAUGUGGCCAAAAAAAUCUCCAUGAAAAUGGGGUUUCUUCAGCGAUAUGCUAAACCCUGCCUUCCCAAUUCAACGUUUAAAAUGCUACGCUGUGCCAUGAUCUUGCCAUUGCUUGACUGGUGUGAUGUAACCUGGUCAAGUUGUGGACUCUGCCACUCUGACAAGCAAACUGCACAAGCGUUGGCCAGUUUAAUUAUUAAAGCCCUUUACCCAACAACACCUGUCACUGAUUUACGAAGGGCACUUCAUGGUCACCUUUGCCAGCUCGUUGAGUGUGUGAAUACCCUGCGUCCCGGAGAUCUGAAAUCACGCUUUCAUAAACCAUGUCCAUGCUACUAUGCCAAUGCUCGUGCCAGGUCAAACUGAUCUUUACAUCUGUCCUCUUUUCCAAUGACAAAUCAGCCAGGCGCACAUUUCAGUAGCAUGGGACCCUGGGAUGGAACAAAAUUACCGCGGCUCAGAAACAGGCAAGGUCAAUGCAUCAAUUUAAAUCCCUUCUUGACUGACUGAUCGACGUUUAAAAUUGAUAUCACAAAUUGUUUUUUGUUUCUUACAGUUUAUUUUUUACAGUCUUAAAUAUUUUAAUUGUUUUAUUUUUAGCUUAAUAUGUCUGGCAUCAUCUACUUUAGAUUUAAGGAUUUGUUGUAAUGGAACUUUUUGGAGGGGUUUAGUCUUUAACAGUUAAUGUCUCGUAACAGGCAACAUUCAAUAUUGCCGUUCACUCGCACAGUCAUCCGAUGGCCAAUUUAAACAACAUUAUAAGAUGACUGUAUUUCCAAUAAUGUAAAAAAAGCUGCUUUGAUCGCGUUAUUAUUAUUUAAAUUUCACAAGUUCUGUUUCCUUUUUUAUGUUUUUUUCAAUAAUUGUUAUAGUGUGUCCGUUCUUUGUUUACUGGUUUAUUUCUGCCUGUUUGCUUCCGAACAUGUAACUAUGUACACACAUGUACGUUCUUGUUUUAUAAACUGUUCUCAAGAAGACAUUCCUACACGAGCAUCGGCUUCCAGAAAAUACCACCGUACCUUUUAUAGUGCAUAUCACGUGAUACAUGUACAUGUAUCUCCAUUUAGUUUUUCUGGAAUUUAGUUUGAAUUAUUCUAGUUUAUUUACCUCUGAAUUAUUUAUUUCAUUUGUAUACUUUACAUCUGAUUUAUUUAUAUUAUGUUUCCUUAAGUAUUCAUAAGAAAGCGUAGAAUCCAAUCAAUCAUCAAUUUAAAAUCAAAUGGAAUCAUUGUUUAUUAUAUAUUAUAAUGAUUUUAACUCGGUUUUAUUCAUGGAACACUGAAAAUCAAAUAUCGCCGACCAAACAAAGGUUUUGCGUGGGAAAAUGUAUCGAUUUAAUUGCUUUGAUUUUAUUAAUUUGCAUCGUUUUUUAAAUACAUUUGGACAUUUGUAAUUUUUACUAAAGACCAAUGUGACACUGUUUGUGUUCACCAUUGCAGAAAAUAAAGUUGAUGCAUGUUAAACAUAAGAAGAACUUUCGAUAUUCAGAGUGUCAUACGUGAAAAUAAUAUUUUGGGAAAUAUUUUGGGAAAAGUAGUGCUAAUAUUACAUAUCAAUACUGCAACCUUGUGACUAACCUGUUUGAAUCGGAUAAAAUUACCUGAUGAGAAGUUU
rnacentral:lncRNA from 1 species